AGCAGCCGCGGUAAUUCCAGCUCCAAUAGCGUAUAUUAAAGUUGUUGCAGUUAAAAGCUCGUAGUUGAAUUUCGGGAUCAAUAUGUUGGUCGUGCCUCGGUACGUACUAGCAUAUUGGUUUCUCCUUUCUGAAGAACCAUGAUGUCAUUUAUUUGGUGUCGUGGGGAAUCAGGACUGUUACUUUGAAAAAUUGAGUGUUUAAAGCAGGCUCACGCUUGAAUACAUUAGCAUGGAAUAAUGAAAUAGGACGUUUGAUUCUAUUUUGUUGGCUUCUAGGAUCGACGUAAUGAUUAAUAGGGAUAGUUGGGGGCAUUAGUAUUCAAUUGUCAGAGGUGAAAUUCUUGGAUUUAUUGAAGACUAACUACUGCGAAAGCAUUUGCCAAGGAUGUUUUCAUUAAUCAAGAACGAAAGUUAGGGGAUCGAAGACGAUCAGAUACCGUCGUAGUCUUAACCAUAAACUAUGCCGACUAGGGAUCGGAUGAUGUUAAUUUUUUAAUUGACUCACUC
rnacentral:misc_RNA from 1 species